rnacentral:rRNA from 1 species
AACGAACGCUGGCGGCAGGCUUAACACAUGCAAGUCGAACGCCCCGCAAGGGGAGUGGCAGACGGGUGAGUAACGCGUGGGAAUCUACCCAGAACUUCGGAACAACUGAGGGAAACUUCAGCUAAUACCGGAUACGCCCUACGGGGGAAAGAUUUAUCGGUUCUGGAUGAGCCCGCGUUGGAUUAGCUAGUUGGUGAGGUAAAGGCUCACCAAGGCGACGAUCCAUAGCUGGUCUGAGAGGAUGAUCAGCCACACUGGGACUGAGACACGGCCCAGACUCCUACGGGAGGCAGCAGUGGGGAAUAUUGGACAAUGGGCGAAAGCCUGAUCCAGCCAUGCCGCGUGAGUGAUGAAGGCCUUAGGGUUGUAAAGCUCUUUCAGUAGGGAAGAUAAUGACGGUACCUACAGAAGAAGCCCCGGCUAACUUCGUG